ensembl:lncRNA
AUAAGCUUUCUGAAGACCAAGGUUAUUUAUUUUUAUUUUUUUUAUCACAGACACUAAUACAUUUUUGGUGUUUCUCAUGAAAUAGGUCUUUUAUAUAUAUAAAGUGAUUUAGGUCCUUUCCACCAAAUGUGCAGAAACAUUUGCAGAAUAAUUGUACUUUUACAUCAUUUGAUUUAUAGCCUGAUUUUGAAUUACAAUAUUGUUCAUAGUACAUGCAUAAUAUUGAUAAAAAUUAAAUGAUUUUAAUUAUAAUUUAAAAUAAGGAAAAAAAUAAAAGAAAAAUUACAACAGCAUUCCACAUAAUUUUUUAAGUACCUCUGAAAAGGUAUGAAUGUGGUAAUAAUUGGUAACACAUUAUUUUAAGGUGUCCUUGUUACACAUCUCAUGUACUUACUAUUAUAAUAAUGCAUAAUUAAUAAUAGUUAAUAAUGCAUAAUUACAUGCAAGUAACCCAAAGCCAAACCCUCAGCCUAACCAUAACCAUAUUGUAAGUACCCAGUACUUAAAAGUAUAACUACACUGUAACAAGGACACCUUAAAAUAAAGUGUAACCUAAUAAUUCAGUACCAUGGAUAGUCAGACACCAGGGUACCACCACCAUACUUUUUGGCAAGGGACAGCACAUCAUGAAAGGCAUCCAGCUAGCUCUUACCACUAUUAUAAAGCAAUGGUGACCUUUAAAUGUUGGAUGAAAUAUGUUUUGGCUUUCCAAUAACACUAUGUAACUCUCAGCUAUGUAGUAUAAAAGAACACAAAUAACUUAACAUCCAUCUGCACUAUAUACAGGGUUAGUAUAGUGGCCAUUCCUGAUACGUGUGUGUGUGUGUGUGUGUGUGUGUGUGUGUGUGUGUGUGUGUGUGUGUGUGUGUGUGUGUGUGUGUGUGUGUGUGUGUGUGUUUGACCAUAAAGUUGUAAUGGAAGCAUCAUGUCUGUCUCUUUUCUGCCAGCUCUUCCCAUCACAGCAUAUUUCCAGUCUCAAAGGAAACAGAGGAAGAAACACACACAUAAAGGAGCCAUUCCUCAGGGAUGACAUAUUACCCACGUCCAGUCGAGGAGAAAAAACUGCACCCAGGACAGCACUGAGGGAAAAAAAUCUUGUUUUCUCUCAUGUUGGAAUUUCCCGCCAGAACUGUACCACUAGGAAAUGUUGACUUUAUUCUUCUGUUUUUGCGAUUCUUUGUGCAAGUUCCUUUUUCAUUUCUGUUCAAGAUUGGACGCUGAAUGCUGGAAAACCCUUAUGCCAAAGGACUCCACAGAGAAGACACAAGAAUGAAACUGUCUUCAGGUUGGCUACCUUUACAAGCUCAUGUAUCACCUAUGACAGCUUCACUAAAAGAUUUCCCUCAGAUACAUUACAGGCUGAGUCAUAUAGUAUCUGCUGCUUUCCAAACAGUUACAGACUCUCACUGUAAAUCAAAGUACAAUGUUUAAGCAUUUUUAAAACAAGAACAAUUUACCUCAAAAACUAUUCAAGGUAAAGCAUAUAAUAUCUGUGCCACCCGUGGCAACAAUUGGAAUUAAAAAAAUAAUGACUGUUUUCAAACUGGUUUCCUAAAACAUGAAGACUGAAAUGUCUGUCAUUGGUUGAUAAAACAGCUAGCCCCGCCCCUACACUUACACCAUUGGUUGAGUCGAUCUUGCUGUGCUGAUCGGAAUGAUAUAUUCCUUUAAUAAACACAGCAGGAAUUUUUUUUUUUUUUUUUUU